rnacentral:rRNA from 1 species
CCCUUAGAUGUUCUGGGCCGCACGCGCGCUACACUGACGGAGGCAGCGAGCGUGUCCUUCGCCGGCAGGUGCGGGCAAUCUUGCGAGUCUCCGUCGUGCUGGGGAUAGAUGGUUGCAAUUGUCGAUCUUGAACGAGGAAUUCCUAGUAAGCGCGAGUCAUCAGCUCGCGCUGAUUACGUCCCUGCCCUUUGUACACACCGCCCGUCGCUACUACAGAGUGCCCGUGUCCAAGAAACGGUCGGACCUGUGCGGCCUCUCCGGGCGACCGGAGGGCCGUUACGGGGAAGACCCUUUAUUUGACGCGGGUCGGUGAAGUAAAAGUCGUAACA